rnacentral:rRNA from 1 species
CCAGACUCCUACGGGAGGCAGCAGUGAGGAAUAUUGGUCAAUGGGCGGGAGCCUGAACCAGCCAAGUCGCGUGAAGGAAGAAGGUACUUAGUAUUGUAAACUUCUUUUGUCGGGGAACAAAGGCGGAGACGCGUCUCCGGAUGAGUGUACCCGAAGAAAAAGCAUCGGCUAACUCCGUGCCAGCAGCCGCGGUAAUACGGAGGAUCCGAGCGUUAUCCGGAUUCAUUGGGUUUAAAGGGUGCGUAGGUUGUUUUAUAAGUUAGCGGUGAAAUACCGAUGCUCAACAUCGGGGCUGCCGCUAAUACUGUAGGACUAGAGAUCGGAUGCAGCAGGCGGAAUGUGUAGUGUAGCGGUGAAAUGCAUAGAUAUUACACAGAACACCGAUUGCGAAGGCAGCUUGCUAGGCCGGAUCUGACACUGAUGCACGAAAGCGUGGGGAUCGAACAGGAUUAGAUACCCGGGUACC